rnacentral:lncRNA from 1 species
GCAUCUCUUCUUUAUGCAAAAACAUCUUCAAUUUAGAGCAACUAACACAUCGUAUAUGCACAAAUUUAUUUAGUUUCGGUGCUCUAAAUAUUGCAGGAGCCAUCUCUUUUUUCAGGCAAACACAUUAGUUGAGAGCAGGCAUCUCUUCUUUAUGCAAACAAUUCUUAAAUUCAGAGCAAUUAACACAUCAUAUAUAUGCGAUUUUUGUGCUCUAAAUAUUGAAGGAUCCGUCUCUUUUUCAUGCAAACACAUUAGUGGGAAAAAUAAAUAAAACAAUAAGAAGUUAACGGGAAAGUAAAACAAUAUAUAUACGUAGUCUAGAGCAAAAAUCAAAUUGUGAAAAACAAGGAGCCAUCUCUUUUUCUUGCAAACACAUUAGUGGGGAAUAUAAAUAAAAAAAUAAGAAGGGAAGUUAAUGGGGGAAGUAAAACAAUAUAUACACACACACAAUACAACAACAACAACAACUUAGCCUUUUGUCCCAAGUAAGUUGGGGUAGGCUAAAGAUGAAAC